GGAGACGUAUCGAAGUGGUCAUAACGGGGCGCACUCGAAAUGCGUUUACCGGGUAACCGGUACGUGGGUUCGAAUCCCACCGUCUCCGCCA
rnacentral:tRNA from 2 species